rnacentral:rRNA from 1 species
GAUCAGACUUUGAUCCUGGCUCAGGAUGAACGCUAGCUACAGGCUUAACACAUGCAAGUCGAGGGGCAGCAUGAACUUAGCUUGCUAAGUUUGAUGGCGACCGGCGCACGGGUGAGUAACACGUAUCCAACCUGCCGAUGACUCGGGGAUAGCCUUUCGAAAGAAAGAUUAAUACCCGAUGGCAUAGUUCUUCCGCAUGGUAGAACUAUUAAAGAAUUUCGGUCAUCGAUGGGGAUGCGUUCCAUUAGGUUGUUGGCGGGGUAACGGCCCACCAAGCCUUCGAUGGAUAGGGGUUCUGAGAGGAAGGUCCCCCACAUUGGAACUGAGACACGGUCCAAACUCCUACGGGAGGCAGCAGUGAGGAAUAUUGGUCAAUGGACGAGAGUCUGAACCAGCCAAGUAGCGUGAAGGAUGACUGCCCUAUGGGUUGUAAACUUCUUUUAUACGGGAAUAAAGUGAGGCACGUGUGCCUUUUUGUAUGUACCGUAUGAAUAAGGAUCGGCUAACUCCGUGCCAGCAGCCGCGGUAAUACGGAGGAUCCGAGCGUUAUCCGGAUUUAUUGGGUUUAAAGGGAGCGUAGGCGGACGCUUAAGUCAGUUGUGAAAGUUUGCGGCUCAACCGUAAAAUUGCAGUUGAUACUGGGUGUCUUGAGUACAGUAGAGGCAGGCGGAAUUCGUGGUGUAGCGGUGAAAUGCUUAGAUAUCACGAAGAACUCCGAUUGCGAAGGCAGCUUGCUGGACUGUAACUGACGCUGAUGCUCGAAAGUGUGGGUAUCAAACAGGAUUAGAUACCCUGGUAGUCCACACAGUAAACGAUGAAUACUCGCUGUUUGCGAUAUACAGUAAGCGGCCAAGCGAAAGCGUUAAGUAUUCCACCUGGGGAGUACGCCGGCAACGGUGCAACUCAAAUGAAUUGACGG